rnacentral:snoRNA from 1 species
UUUGAUGAUGAACAAGAGCUAUAAAGCUCGAAAUAAUCCCAGCUCGUCGAACGCUCUCGUAAAUAUUAGUUGAGGCCGUCUUGAGAUGAAAUCCAACCCUGAUCC